rnacentral:rRNA from 1 species
CCUACGGGAGGCUGCAGUGAGGAAUAUUGGUCAAUGGACGAGAGUCUGAACCAGCCAAGUAGCGUGAAGGAUGACUGCCCUAUGGGUUGUAAACUUCUUUUAUAUGGGAAUAAAAUGUUCCACGUGUGGGAUUUUGUAUGUACCAUAUGAAUAAGGAUCGGCUAACUCCGUGCCAGCAGCCGCGGUAAUACGGAGGAUCCGAGCGUUAUCCGGAUUUAUUGGGGUUAAAGGGAGCGUAGGUCGCUUGUUAAGUCAGUUGUGAAAGUUUGCGGCUCAACCGUAAAAUUGCAGUUGAAACUGGCAGUCUUGAGUACAGUAGAGGUGGGCGGAAUUCGUGGUGUAGCGGUGAAAUGCUUAGAUAUCACGAAGAACUCCGAUUGCGAAGGCAGUUCACUGGACUGCAACUGACACUGAGGCUCGAAAGUGUGGGUAUCAAACAGGAUUAGAUACCCGUGUAGGC